rnacentral:rRNA from 1 species
AGUGAACGCUGGCGGUAGGCCUAACACAUGCAAGUCGAACGGCAGCACAGGAGAGCUUGCUCUCUGGGUGGCGAGUGGCGGACGGGUGAGGAAUACAUCGGAAUCUACUCUGUCGUGGGGGAUAACGUAGGGAAACUUACGCUAAUACCGCAUACGACCUACGGGUGAAAGCAGGGGAUCUUCGGACCUUGCGCGAUUGAAUGAGCCGAUGUCGGAUUAGCUAGUUGGCGGGGUAAAGGCCCACCAAGGCGACGAUCCGUAGCUGGUCUGCGAGGAUGAUCAGCCACACUGGAACUGAGACACGGUCCAGACUCCUACGGGAGGCAGCAGUGGGGAAUAUUGGACAAUGGGCGCAAGCCUGAUCCGGCCAUACCGCGUGGGUGAAGAAGGCCUUCGGGUUGUAAAGCCCUUUUGUUGGGAAAGAAAUCCAGCUGGCUAAUACCCGGUUGGGAUGACGGUACCCAAAGAAUAAGCACCGGCUAACUUCGUGCCAGCCGCCGCCGUAAAAC